UACGGAGGGUGCAAACGUUGCUCGGAAUCAUUGGGCGUAAAGCGCACGUAGGCGGUUCUGCAAGUCGGGUGUGAAAUCCCUCGGCUUAACCAAGGAAGUGCAUUCGAAACUGCAGGACUUGAGUACUGGAGAGGAUCGCGGAAUUCUCGGUGUAGAGGUGAAAUUCGUAGAUAUCGGGAGGAACACCAGUGGCGAAGGCGGCGAUCUGGUCAGAUACUGACGCUGAGGUGCGAAAGCGUGGGGAGCAAACAGG
rnacentral:rRNA from 1 species